UUGUCUUUGCUAUCUCUUUGGUGAUGGUAAAAUCACAAAGUCCUGACCCAAAGGGUAAUUUUUUAUUUCUAGAAUAAGGAGCCGGUACCUAAUGCCUCAUCUUUCUUGUUCAUCAAUUCGCCUUCUAAGCCUCCUUCUUGACCAUUCCAGCUAAAGAAUUUGUCAGUUUGAUGAUUUCAUUAAUGUUUACUCCUAUGGCAUCGCCCCUAUCAUUAUAGUAGAUCCAGGGGUUCUGAAGAUCAGAUGGGUGUAUGUGAACAGAGACUGCAGACCAAAAGUUUCUCCCAUUUUUCGGAAGACACCCUCUGAUGACUGUUCUAUUUCUCAUAGUCAAGGUGGUUGGAGAGGGUGAUCUUCCUAUAACCGGAUCCACCCUGGUCUGCCAUCCUGUCCAUCAUCUUCAUCAUCACUUGAUUCAGAUCAUCUGCCAUAGUGAUUGAAUCAAAUAAGGGAAGUGUUUCUUAAUCAUGUUCUCUGUCAGAACAAAGUAAGUUCUCAUGUUGUAGCUCAUCAAACUAAAAUAGUGUCCUUUCAUCUUUCUCUCUCUCUCUCCUUUCCUUUGAGCCCUAUAACUAAAUCGUUCUCAUUCAAUCCUUCAUUGUUCCCUUUAGUCAAGAAUUCUCUAGCUGGUUUUCAAGGGCAGUUUUGAGAACCUUCUUGCUUGGAAUGGGCUGAUGGGGAUGUGGGAUUUUGAAUUGUCAUUGAAUGGCUCUUAUCAUCUAAAAACUCUGCCAGAUCUACAGUUUCUGGUAUUUCGUAUAUUUGACUUAGUUCCAAUUCAUCCCAACAAUCUGCAGCAAAGGUGCUCUGAGCAAGGGUAGGCCAGGUGUUUCUUAAAAUAUGCUUUUUAAAAGGAUGGUUCAUCGGGAUAGAGGAUCUCUUCACGAACCAUCGUCUUCUUUUCUUGAAUUGUCGGGCCAGUAUAUAUAUAUAUGUAAAGUCACUUGCAAGUUGUUUAGUGUAUGCCUUAUUAGUUGUUUUCCGGAGAGUGACUUGGUGAUUUUAGUUGUUCUCUUAAUGUCCUCUUAAUGUACAUAAUGUUUGUUAUUAAUUAAUAAACAAUUUUUAAUUAAAAAAAA
rnacentral:sRNA from 1 species